rnacentral:pre_miRNA from 1 species
CUACCGCAAGAGGGGCCACAAUGAAGAUAGAAGAUGGCUUCAGAGUUUUAUUUGUACUGAGCCGACUUCUAUUCAUUGUCGCUUUUAAUGCGAGUACACUCGAC